AGUAAUAGCCCAUCUGUCUCUCCAGGUGGAAACGAGCUUCUAUACAGGUGAACUUGCCUGAGGAGGACAGGAGAUACAUGGAAGAUUACUGAUGUGUAGGACAAGGCUUGUAUCAGCUGAGUGACAUCACACACAGCAAGAGACUCUGGCAAAUGCACAAUCUUGACUUCCUCUCUACUGAACCCAGCAGAUAAGGGUAAACAGCACUGACCUGUGUUGUAGUGCUUUGUGCAGUAUCUCAAGUCUUUUUCUUCUUUGAGGAUAAACUGAGGCAAUGUCAGCCCGUCA